rnacentral:rRNA from 1 species
CCUACGGGAGGCUGCAGUGAGGAAUAUUGGACAAUGGACGGAAGUCUGAACCAGCCACGCCGCGUGCAGGAAGACGGCUCUAUGAGUUGUAAACUGCUUUUGUACAAGGGUAAACCUGAAUACGUGUAUUCAGCUGAAAGUACUGUACGAAUAAGGAUCGGCUAACUCCGGGCCAGCAGCCGCGGUAAUACGGAGGAUCCAAGCGUUAUCCGGAUUUAUUGGGUUUAAAGGGUGCGUAGGCGGAUUGAUAAGUUAGAGGUGAAAUGUCCGAGCUUAACUCGGGAACUGCCCCUAAUACUGUUGGUCUAGAGAGUAGAUGCGGUAGGCGGAAUGUAUGGUGUAGCGGUGAAAUGCUUAGAGAUCAGACAGAACACCGAUUGCGAAGGCAGCUUACCAAUCUAUAUCUGACGUUGAGGCACGAAAGCGUGGGGAGCAAACAGGAUUAGAUACCCGUGUAGUC